CUUAAAUAUAAUUAAGAAGAAGAGACGACAAACAGUAUCCACACUUUGAUUUUAAGUAGAAAUUUCCAAGUCAUCCUGACUACUUAAAACCUCCAUUUACUCUUCCUUUUGAGGUCUCUUUAGAACGCCUGAUGUCUGUGAUUACCAACAAAGCCACUAACAGCACGCUCCCAGGUGUCCAUGCAGAUGCAUUGGCCCAAGUGGAUUCUGAGAGAAAAGUCCUUCCCACGCAAUUACGCUGCCCAGUCGAUACUCUCAGCUUUCUCCUGCCUCAGAGGCUCAUCUCUCUCCCUCCUAUGCAUAUA